ensembl:lncRNA
AUGACACAGACCCAGAGGAGCUGGAGGAUAGCCAUGACCUCAGGCGAGUGACUUCACUCCUCUGGGCCUUCCUUUCCUUGGCUAUAAAAAUGAUAGGAUCGGGGUAAAUAAACUUUAAGGUGUUUUCCAGUUCUAAAAUAUUAUAAUUCUAAGAGAAAAUAAGUUAGCUGGAUUGGGACAAAAAGAGCCAAUAUUUUUAUCACUUAGAGUAAAGCCAGUUGUCAGCCUCUUGUUUAUUAAAUGUUUGCAUGGCUCCUUCUCGCCCUCUGGGCUGGGUGUCAGGGGCACAGAUGAGUACAUUGUGGUCCUUGUCCUCAAGAAGCACACAGGCUGGGGUGCCGGGAGAGACAGGCGUGUAAACAGAUCAUUAAAAUGCAAUGUCGCAAGGGCUCUGGGAGAGUCACAGACAAGGAGCACAGGGCAGGAAGUGACUAACUCACCCUGGGAGACGUCUCACAGAAGAAGUACUGUUCAACACGAGCCUGGAAAGGUGAGUUCAAUAGAUCAUCUGUGAAGAUGGCCAAGUUUGAGAGAGGAAAAUCUGGACAGGAGAGAAAGCAUGUGUCAAAGGAGCCCAGAACGUUCCGAGAAAGGAAGUCUGAAAGAAGCAGCCACUUUCCACUGAGAGCCAGAAGCCAAAAUCCGAACUGUUGUCGUGAGGUCACAAGGGUGAUCUUAUAUACGGUGCCAUCUAUUCCAUCUCAGGCCAUUCCUGUGCAGCUGCUUCGAGCUAAAACUCCUCCACGCUCCACUUCUGAUUUUCCAGGGUUUCCCUGUCUGUCAGUUUCAGCCUGCCCCCUCCUGUUAUUUUUAGAUUUGAUUUUAGUCCUUAUAAAGGGCCAGGGGUGAGGAUAGGGAGAAAAUUUUUUUCAUUUUAAUUAAAAGCAGAUGACAAAGACAACUCAGUCAUGGAAAAUAACAGGAGUCACACUGUCUCUGGCUCCCAUUCGCGUAUUUCCUCCAUCAGCUGCAAGCGAGCAGAGAAGCAACAACGCUAAUUGAGUCUCCUCUGCCUUUUCCAGAAGACACACAUGAUCUAAGCAGAUCUCACCCGAGAUUCCGUUAGAGAGCUGCACGUGCUCUCCUUCCCUUUCCAUUCCCCCUCACAGAGUGAUUGCAUUUUAGAGCUGGCAGGCAGCUUCUGUGACUAUCUUCAUGUUACCAGGAGGAGCCCAGGGCCAAGCGAGGUCAAGGGAGGUGCCCGAAAAGGUCCAGCCUACUGAGGUCUCUCCAUUCCCACCUUCCAAGCGCUGAGCCUUGUCGAAUCCAUGUUUUUCAGCUGCCCAAAGAGUCCAAAUAGAGCAAGAGCUCCUUGAAGUGAGGGGCCCCAGCCUUGUGUGUUCUGUCCCUCAGUUCUCAGGACCUGCACAGGCAGGUGAAUGUGCACGGCGAAGCCGCUGCCUUUCACUCAUUCUUCCACACACUGUUGUUGCUGUUCUCCAACCUUCCGAUGAAUGUUUGUUUUUUCUCUCUCUGGACCAAUUUAGCCUUGUGCAUACUCUAUGAGCUUGGAUGUCUGCUUGCCUAUUAACUCAAAGACAGUUUAAUUCCAGAUUUUCUUCCAAGACUUCAUUUAGAUUCAGUCUUCAACGUCUCAUUAUUCAACAUGUUUACAGUUAGAUGUUCUAUUAUCAUAUAUAAUCAUUCGAAAGUACUAGUCUCUGUGUUCAGGUAACUCACAUGACACAGACUACAGCAUCUGUUGUGGACACAGCAUGGAAUUCAGUUUUGUAUUGUCAAACUCUUGCCUUUCUUCCUGGUUUCUCCAAAUGUAAGAAGGUCAUGGGGUGGGAGUGACCAGAUGAAAUCACUUACAGGUUAUCCACGAGACAAAGCCAAGGAAGCCCUGAUAAAGACAACCUCCACUCACGUCAUAUGACAGACAGAAAAAGCAUAUCUGGGUCUCUGCCCUGCUCAGUAGGAGAAUGAGGACUCUUGAUGGCAAAAGACGGAAACUCAAACCAGUUUGAGAAAAAAAGGGAGACAUUAUUAGAAGGCUUAUAUCCUCAUCUGGGAAGAGCAGAGAUGGCACUGGACAUCACAGACAGCUGGCACCAGGGACUCACAAGCCCCCAGCAUGCUCUUUCUUUUCUCUACCUCUCUCUCUGAGUCAGCGUUACUUCUCCCAAACUGGCUUUGGGAGUGAGCUCUUCCUCACGUGCAGCUUAACCCUCAGACAGAGAUUAGCUCCCUCUCCCCAGUUCCAGUUGCAAAACCCCCGAGGAAUGACUCUGUUGGUCUGACGAGGGCCAGGUGCCUACUCCUACCCCCAGAUAAUGGAGACUUUCCUCAAAGGAGGGGAAACAGAGGCCCCCUCAGUCACCCUAAUUCACAUCUACCACCACGUGUGGCAGGGGGCAAGUUUCUUUAACUUCUCUGAGCCUUGGUUUCUUCAUUGUAAAAUGAAACAUUUGGGGAGGGGCACAAAAAUAACACCUUCUUCAAAGAGCUGUUGAUCAUUUUACAUAGAUAACCAAUGUCAAAGGCCGCUGCAGUGUCUGCUAUAUGCGAAGCAUCAAUAAAUGUUCAUUUUUCUUCCAAGGUGAGUCUUAAAGUCAAGGAAGAAGUCAGCACGCUAAAAUGGAGAGGAAGAUUAUUUGGAGCACAGGGAACCGAAUGGGAAAUGCUGUACAAUUCAGAGUAAGAGGCACUAUAGGAGUUGUUAAAAGGAGGGCAAUUGAACCUUAAAUCAUUCCCACCAUAAAUCACCCAUAAGGUCCAUGUUCUAGAAAAAGGGGG